GCCGAUGGCGGUGGACGCAGCAGGGCCCCGCGGUCUGAGUGCGGGCAGGCGCGCGUGGGCGUGUCUCCCUGGCCCACGCGUGUCCCCGGCAUCAGUGUCUCGGCUCUGGUCCAGGACGAAGACUUCUGAAAGCGAGCCAAGGAGAAUCACAGUUCUUAACGGAGCCCCUGACUGCCCGGUGGAAGGAGGUGAUUUAGAAGACAGUGAGUUGAUCUGGGGCAAAGUGAAGCAUCAGUAGCGCCUUCCAUCCCUUCACCUCACCUGGAUCUCUUCACUUCACUCCACGUCUGUCGUCUCCCAUGCAUGAAGCAACAUGGCCAAGUGAAGCUGCAACCAGUAAAGUCACAGGAUGUUUCUUGGCUUCAAACCAUUUGGAUAAGUGAUGGCAGCAAGCUUCGCCACUGUAAAGUCACCUCUUUGUAAGAAGACAGGAGCUCUUUGUAAAGAAUAUGAGACCUGAGGCUGGGGGAUGGCUGAGAAGGGAAAAGCACCUCUGCACAAGCGUGAGAAAAGGAGUUUGUUCUUCCACAUCCAUGUAGAAAUCUUGAUGCCGUGCCGUGAACCCCAGCUCUCCUACGGGAAGAUGGGAGGCGUAGACAGGAGUUCAUCUGGAAGCUUGAGGCCAGCCACCCAGAUCCUCAGAGCUGCAGACAAAAGAGAGGCCCUGCAGCAAAAGAGUGGAAGGUGAGAACCAACUCCGGAAAGUUGCCCUCUGACCUUUACAAGUGUAUACAUCCACACACAUACAAUAAAAUCAAUUGCUCAAUC
rnacentral:lncRNA from 1 species